rnacentral:rRNA from 1 species
AAAUUGAAGAGUUUGAUCAUGGCUCAGAUUGAACGCUGGCGGCAGGCUUAACACAUGCAAGUCGAACGGUAACGGGGAGGGAGGUUACUUUCUCUGCUGACGAGUGGCGGACGGGUGAGUAAAGCUUGGGAAUCUGGCGAAUGGAGGGGGAUAGCCACGGGAAACUGUGGGUAAUACCG